UCACAAAUAGGACAAUUAAGAAAAUUCAUUCAUUUCAUUUGAAGAAUGGGAUGGAAAUUACAUUCAUACACGAGGGAAUUACGCAAUCGCAGACUCCAAGCAGAUUCAAGUUUACUUUUUCCUUCAUCUCCAUUCAAGCCGGUUGUGAGUUCUGAAUGUGAAUUUGCGCCAAAUUCAAAUAAAAUAGUUCUAUAUCCUUAAAUCGGCAACAAUUAAGAUAUUUUUUUAAAUUAACUCUUCAGUUCCUACUCAAACGCAAAUAGGAUAAAAUGAAGCCACAAUACAAAGUUGCCGACAUCAACCUUGCUGAGUAUGGUCGCAAAGCCAUCAUAAUCGCGGAGAAUGAAAUGCCUGGCCUAAUGGCCAUUCGUAAGAAGUAUGGACCACAAAAGGUUUUAAAGGGUGCACGUAUUGCUGGCUGUCUCCAUAUGACAGUACAAACCGCUGUAUUGAUAGAGACACUCGUGGAGCUGGGCGCAGAAGUUCAAUGGUCAAGCUGUAAUAUAUAUUCAGUACACAAGAUCAUGCAGCUGCAGCUAUCGCGAAGACUGGCGUACCAGUUUAUGCCUGGAAGGGUGAGACCGAUGAGGAAUACUUAUGGUGCAUUGAGCAGACUCUGGUAUUCGCUGAUGAUAAGCCAUUGAAUUUGAUUCUCGAUGACGGGGGCGAUUUAACUAACUUGGUGCACGAAAAGUUCCCACAGUACCUUAAAGACAUCAAGGGCUUGAGCGAA